rnacentral:rRNA from 1 species
UACGUAGGGGGCAAGCGUUGUCCGGAUUUACUGGGCGUAAAGGGCGCGUAGGCGGCCCGUCAAGUCCCGUGUGAAAGCCCCCGGCUCAACCGGGGAACGGCGCGGGAAACUAGCAGGCUUGAGUUCGGGAGAGGGAAGCGGAAUUCCGGGUGUAGCGGUGAAAUGCGCAGAUAUCCGGAGGAACACCGGUGGCGAAGGCGGCUUCCUGGACCGACACUGACGCUGAGGCGCGAAAGCUAGGGGAGCAAACGGG